rnacentral:rRNA from 1 species
GAUGAACGCUGGCGGCGUGCCUAAUACAUGCAAGUCGAGCGAACAGACGAGGAGCUUGCUCCUCUGACGUUAGCGGCGGACGGGUGAGUAACACGUGGAUAACCUACCUAUAAGACUGGGAUAACUUCGGGAAACCGGAGCUAAUACCGGAUAACAUAUUGAACCGCAUGGUUCAAUAGUGAAAGACGGUUUUGCUGUCACUUAUAGAUGGAUCCGCGCCGCAUUAGCUAGUUGGUAAGGUAACGGCUUACCAAGGCGACGAUGCGUAGCCGACCUGAGAGGGUGAUCGGCCACACUGGAACUGAGACACGGUCCAGACUCCUACGGGAGGCAGCAGUAGGGAAUCUUCCGCAAUGGGCGAAAGCUUGACGGAGCAACGCCGCGUGAGUGAUGAAGGUCUUCGGAUCGUAAAACUCUGUUAUUAGGGAAGAACAAAUGUGUAAGUAACUAUGCACGUCUUGACGGUACCUAAUCAGAAAGCCACGGCUAACUACGU